AUGUGACAUGCUUGCGAUCUGCGAUGUUUUCGUCUGCGACGUUCGAAAACCCCACGACGAAAAGUUUGGCACGUAAGAAUUUUUUGGGGAAUGGCAUGACGUAGGUAUCCAUUGUUGACAUGAGGGAAUCCCGCUGUCACUUGCGUGAUGGAACCCCACGAACAGCUGGAGCUCACGCGCAGUGUUUACCAACUGACUUCACUGCACUACGAUGAGUAGGGUAACUGCUACAAAAAUGAAUAUGAUCAAAAGAAGAAUGCUAAUAAAGAAAACGAGAGAAAAUGGAACAACAUAAUGGAGACAACUUUGGUUGAAAUGUGGCAGCAACGUCCCUGUAUUUUCGACGUGUCCACAAAGGAGUUCCAGGAUAGGGUGAAGGGAUACAGCCUGGCGAGAAAUAGCCGACGCCCUUGACCUACCCGGUAAGUUUGGAGUCAACUACUGUUGACGCGCUAAUAGCUAUCAUAACCUAUCCUAAACCUCAAACAGCCAGCAUAAUGCCUAGUGCUAGGUGAUCGGAAUCCAUUGUUGACACUCUGUUGCUAGGCUACGUUGUUGCUGCGGGUACUUUGUAUCGCUCAUGUCAGGCGCAACGUUGUCUCGCAAAGCCAGACCAAACUACAGCUAGUAGAAUGGUCUGGAACCAUGCUACCUCGAGCCAUCUAUCCUUGGGGAAACUGGGCGGGCCUGUUUUUAUUUCUUUAAACCAAUCACAAUCGUCUAGGGUGGGGCUAAGCCCGGGAAGCAGCAUCGGUGUCCAUGCAAAAUAUUGCCAGGGGGAAAUGCCAGCAACCGGAAGGGGAGGAGUAGCGGUGAAAUCCGACGCUAGGUGAUAGACGUUGUCCACUUCCGUUCAGCCAUACUAGGCGCAACGCAACUACUGUAAGGAGUUGCUGCAUUGAGCAGAUAGAAAAACUACUGGAACCUUUAUGACAAAAAUGUUAAAAAACAUUUAUGUCAGUUAUGAACCUUAGAUAAAUAUCUUACAAACGUGAAUGAUACAAAGUAGAGAGCAUCGCACCCUCGAAUCUUGUAGUGUGGCCAGUCUUCCGACGAGACAAGGCCCGAUUUCCUGGCUCUGUGAUUUUAUAGUGUGAUAUGUUAAAUCGUGGAGGAAUAUCUGAGAAUCGUGUAGUCUGAACCAGCCCAAUAAAUAACCAAUCAUAACAACACAAUGAAUCAUGUGCUAAAUCCUAAAUUGGUCAUCAGUACUGGACUGUGGUCCUUUAAAUUCAUAUGUUUUCUGUUCAACUCACAAUUUUCAUCUGCUGCCAAAUGAUGAAAUGCAGGCUGUGUGGUUUCUGGGCCUAAUACUGCGGCGUCUCAAGGGAUUCUGGUGUUGCUGCCAUACAAUCUCCUGGGUUUUACCUUUGCCAUCUCGACUGUGAAAGGAGUCAUUGUCUCCACAGAGGCCAGGCUACUCCAACUGCCUGAUUAAAUGGCUGUCGGUCCUUGCAGGACAUAGAUCAUAUAGCUCAGGUUAGUUAGCUAACAUUUGCUAUGUAUUCAUUGAACAAGGUACUUUCAGCUAUUUUAUUGCAAGGGCCUAAUAUAAUGAAAGUGUGUUGAAACUAUAUUUCCGAGAGUUUAUAUAAAGUUAUUUACUUCAUUCACAUGUGUAGAAUAUAUAUUGACCAUUUGCCCUGAUAUUGUCAAUGCAAGAUUUAAUGGAGGGUCUGUGUAUGGAUAUUUUUAUGAUAAAAUAGACAUCAAGGCAAAAACAUAAUAUAAUUAUUAAAAUUCAUCAUUGAAUGUCGAACUAGACUAUUGCGGACCAACAUGUGCGAGGGAACAUGAUGCUAUGAAAUCAGACAAAUCUUUCUCUGAGCUGUGACGGUAAAUAAAAAAUAUUUACCAUUUAUGGGGUCAGCUUCCACCAACAGGGUAACAUCGUGGAUGACUUCUUCCAUUCCCCUGAACACCUCGCAUCGGUAUCGACCGCUGUCGCUCGCGGUGACGUCCAUGAUCGUUAAUGAGGCGUCUUUCUCAUCAGCGCCCUGCAGUAAGGCGCGGCCGUUGAACUCCCCAAAGCUCUUAGUGUGGAUACCCAGUGACACCAGGAUCUCCUCUUCGUCCAAAGUCUCGUCCUCAGGCACCCGGCUCCACUUGACCCUAAUACCGAUGUUGGCGAAUGGCG